GAUGAACGCUAGCUACAGGCUUAACACAUGCAAGUCGAGGGGCAGCGGUAUCGAAAGCUUGCUUUCGGUAGCCGGCGACCGGCGCACGGGUGAGUAACGCGUAUCGAACCUGCCUCAUACUCGGGAAUAGCCUUGCGAAAGUAAGAUUAAUGCCCGGUGUUUUCAGAGUCCCGCAUGAGGCUUUGAACAAAGUUUUAUCGGUAUGAGAUGGCGAUGCGUCCCAUUAGCUUGUUGGCGGGGUAACGGCCCACCAAGGCAUCGAUGGGUAGGGGUUCUGAGAGGAAGGUCCCCCACAGUGGAACUGAGACACGGUCCAAACUCCUACGGGAGGCAGCAGUGAGGAAUAUUGGUCAAUGGGCGGAAGCCUGAACCAGCCAAGUAGCGUGCAGGAAGACGGCCCUCCGGGUUGUAAACUGCUUUUAGUUGGGAAUAAAACGGGGCUCGUGAGCCCCCUUGCAUGUACCAUCAGAAAAAGGACCGGCUAAUUCCGUG
rnacentral:rRNA from 1 species